CGACCGGCGCACGGGUGAGUAACGCGUAUGUAAUCUACCUGUAACAGGGGGAUAACCCGGAGAAAUCCGGACUAAUACCUCAUAGCACAUAUUAUUCGCAUGAAUUUUAUGUUAAAGAGACUCGGUUACAGAUGAACAUGCGUUCCAUUAGCUAGUUGGCGGGGUUACGGCCCACCAAGGCAACGAUGGAUAGGGGCUCUGAGAGGAAGGUCCCCCACACUGGUACUGAGACACGGACCAG
rnacentral:rRNA from 1 species